AUCCACCUUCCACCUUUACAAACAACACGAGCAUGUCCACCCCAUCGCCAGCUUAACCUGACACGCGUCUGCGCUGUGUGUUUUUUUCCCCCGUCUGCUUUUUCUGGUUUGGUUUUGUUUUGUUUUAAUCAGAUGGAGGGUCUCUACUGACGAUGUCACGUCUGGGCUCACACACGCACGCUCAGAAGGACAGUGGGCUGUCCGGUGUAGCAUCAUUAGCUCAGCGGAGACGUGGCGGCCCUGACACAUGUCGAGCGGCGUGCAGCCAACCCACGGACGAGCACGAGUCGCUCCUGCAUAAUUUGAAGAGUCAUCCAUGCUUUGAGAAUUCUUCCCGGCAUUCCCCAUGAUCUGAACGGAGCAUCGCUCAGUGCCGUGAUGGCCUUAUUCACACUCAGCACCUCCCCCUCCAGCCCACUGAUGAAUUGACCCACCUGUAGGCCCUCAGGCGGAGCUCCACCAGGAGGCUCAUGUCCACAGCACGGCUGUAUUACAGCACAACAGCACAUGUGGCAGGGUCCAACCUGUUUCUCUUUUCACACAUAAUCAACAGACAGAAGCCCUGCUGGCCUGAGGGUCAUAUGAGGACCUUUGCAUGACCCCUGACCUCAGUUUGAACCAAGACCCUCGAGUUCAUCCACAUCUGCGGCUGUAGAGAAGGUCACAGGAGAGUUCAUGGUAACCUGCCUUUACUGUGACAACAAGCAGAAUGAGUUGAGUUUUGUCGCGCUCUCCACAGCUGCACGGCCGUCUACGCGGCGGGCUUCUCUCUCCCUCUCCCUCAUGUGCACUCAAAAGGUCAAGUAACGAGGGAGAAGAAGUGAAGGAGAAGUAACACGCAACAGCUGAGUGUGUGGGGAAUGGGAGAUGAGUGACAGCAUGUUUGCCACUGCAUAAUGAGUGGUGCUCUUUCCGCACUCCGUAACUGCCUCCAUGCCCCCAGGUGCGCUCAGGCCCAGUGACGCUUCACCUUAACUCCAAUCAGACAGCACAUCGGAAGUUCUUCAGUGAGGUGUGGCCGUCCAGAGAUGCCACUUAGUGUUGGCAUCCCCCUGGGGACGCCUGGAUGUCUUUUCCAGUCAUUUGUACUGAGUAAAUGAGACACGGAGCUGACAAUGUGUGAGUAUAUGUGCCCUGUUCUGACAAGAGGGUAAAUCGCCAAUGUCUAAUGCUGCUCGCUUAAAACGUUGGAUACAUUAUUUUUGUCUUGAUUAAAUUAUGUUCGUCCUUGCUAAUCGGGUCUAUGAAACAUCACUGUCUGCUAUAAACAUGCCUUGUCCCUUUAAUUCCCCUUUGGCUAUUUUUUUUUUUUUUUUUUAAGUAAAGUUUAAGAUUAUUAUCUUGUCCAGUUCUGGAAUGCCUUUUUUGCAGGAAAGUGGACCUCAAGGGCCAGAGUUGAGAACCCCUGCUAUAAAGCCUAUUGUAUCAUAUAUGAUACACUAAAUUAUAAGGCCUCUAAAUCAUCAAUCAUUUAUGUCAUCAAGCUUCACCUGAUGUACACAAUCUACUACAGGCCUUUUACUGUCUGAUUGAUAAGCCUUUUAGUAUAAUUCUAAAAACAUCUAGUGCUGAUGCACAAAGAACACAGACGCAGUCAAAUCAUUUACAUAAUGACCAACGCAAUCUACCAAGAGCAGUGCAAAUUAGAGUUGGGUCACAAAUAAGAAGAGCUGAUGCUCAUCAGGUGCUGGUCGACAUUGUAAUAUACGGAUAACGUCUUCCUCUGGCAUUCCAAAGAAAUUAAAAUGAGUGGAAAAUAUUUUCUCCCUUCUACCACACACUCUCUAUUCUCUGCGGUGUCUCCUCCUAGCAGCAACAAUUGCAGCCAUGUCGCAAAAUGGGUUAAGACAUGCUUUUUUGGGGCAUU